CAGCAGACGAUGGUUGUGAAAGUGAGGCUGCCGAUUGAGAGGACUGAACGGACUGUGGAGAGGAGGAUGCCCCGCCUGAAGUUGAAGCCAUUGAGUCUGGAAAGGAACUACCAGGUGUAAAUGAGAAGCUGUACAUUGUUGUCCUUGUCAAAUAAACAAACAUAUGAAAUAUGA